UUGAGGCGCAGCCUCAUUAACAUUCUCUCUUCCUUGUCACGGAGCAAGAGGAAGGACUCGCUGCUGCAAGGAAACUGAAAAAUUCGUAGUUUGAAAGCCUAAAAUGCGGAAGGAUGCAUUAGGAGAACCACUUGAGGUGGGAUGUCAGGAGUCUAUUUCUUGACCUAACGCUUCAAUUUUUUCUACUGAUUUGUUUUAUAUCCUGAAAGAGCUACAUGUAAAAAAAAAAAAGUUUUAAUUUAAGGCCUAAAUGACAAUA